rnacentral:rRNA from 1 species
UACGUAGGGGGCAAGCGUUGUCCGGAUUUAUUGGGCGUAAAGAGCUCGUAGGUGGUUCGGUAAGUCGGAUGUGAAAUCUCCAGGCUCAACCUGGAGGGGUCAUUCGAUACUGCCGUGACUAGAGGUCGGUAGGGGAGUGUGGAAUUCCUGGUGGAGCGGUGAAAUGCGCAGAUAUCAGGAGGAACACCGGUGGCGAAGGCGGUUCUCUGGGCAUGAUCUGACGCUGAGGAGCGAAAGUGUGGGGAGCGAACAGG